rnacentral:rRNA from 1 species
UACGUAGGUGGCAAGCGUUGUCCGGAUUUAUUGGGUUUAAAGGGUGCGUAGGCGGUUUUUUAAGUCAGUGCUGAAAUACUCCAGCUUAACUGGAGGGGUGGCAUUGAUACUGGAAGACUUGAGUACAGAUGAGGUAGGCGGAAUUGACGGUGUAGCGGUGAAAUGCAUAGAUAUCGUCAAGAACACCGAUAGCGAAGGCAGCUUACUGGGCUGUAACUGACGCUGAUGCACGAAAAGUGUGGGGAUCAAACAGG